CAUUUACUCAUCUAAUAAGAAUGUUUUGUCGUGUCUUUGCCGGUCCGUUGGGUGUCUGAUAGUGUGAAUCAGGCUUAAUGCGGCAUUCCGGGAACCGUGCGUUCUUGCAUGUGAUGAUCGGGUUUGCACGUGCAACUUCACAUCAACGUCACAAUGCUACUUGGGCAAGGAAAACAUCGCGAAUGCUUUGUUAUCCUGCAGCUGCGCCCAACUUCACCCACGGUUCUCUAAGUCACUCUCAAACACCUUAGUCCUUCGAAUGAACACACAUUUCCAUCCACGAAUUGGGUCCUGCUAGAGCAUACAUUUUGGUCCUGCGAGCCGAAGUAUUUUGGCUUUGCGACUCUACACUUUGGUCAUGCAAGCCAAUCCCUUUUGGGGGUGCGAGACGCUACAGUAAUACCAUGGAGUUUGUGCAGGUUCCUGAUAAUGUAUGUAAAUAUAAAUAUCAAAAACAAA